UACGGAGGGGGCGAGCGUUAUUCGGAAUUAUUGGGCGUAAAGGGCGCGUAGGCGGCUUGACAAGUCAAAGGUGAAAUCCCUCGGCUCAACUGAGGAACUGCCUUUGAAACUGUCUGGCUUGAGGCCGGGAGGGGGUAGCGGAAUUCCCAGUGUAGCGGUGAAAUGCGUAGAUAUUGGGAGGAACACCAGUGGCGAAGGCGGCUACCUGGACCGGUUCUGACGCUGAUGCGCGAAAGCCAGGGGAGCGAACGGG
rnacentral:rRNA from 1 species